GAUGAACGCUGGCGGCGUGCUUAACACAUGCAAGUCGAACGGAAAGGCUCCUGCUUGCAGGGGUACUCGAGUGGCGAACGGGUGAGUAACACGUGGGUGAUCUGCCCUGCACUUCGGGAUAAGCCUGGGAAACUGGGUCUAAUACCGGAUAGGACCAUCGUUUAGUGUCGGUGGUGGAAAGUUUUUUCGGUGUGGGAUGAGCUCGCGGCCUAUCAGCUUGUUGGUGGGGUAAUGGCCUACCAAGGCGUCGACGGGUAGCCGGCCUGAGAGGGUGUACGGCCACAUUGGGACUUAGGUACGGCCCAGACUCCUACGGGAGGCAGCAGGUGGGAAUAAUGCACAAUGGGCGCAAGCCUGAUGCAGCGACGCCGCGUUGGGGAUGACGGCCUUCGGGUUGUAAACUCCUUUCGCCAGGGACGAAGCGAAAGUGACGGUACCUGGAUAAGAAGCACCGGCUAACUACGUG
rnacentral:rRNA from 1 species